rnacentral:rRNA from 1 species
CCUACGGGAGGCAGCAGUGGGGAAUAUUGGGCAAUGGAGGAAACUCUGACCCAGCGACGCCGCGUGCGGGAUGAAGGCCUUCGGGUUGUAAACCGCUUUCAGUAGGGAAGAAGCGAAAGUGACGGUACCUACAAAAGAAGCACCGGCUAACUAUGUGCCAGCAGCCGCGGUAAUACAUAGGGUGCAAGCGUUGUCCGGAAUUAUUGGGCGUAAAGAGCUCGUAGGUCGUUUGUUACGUCGGAUGUGAAAACCUGAGGCUCAACCUCAGGCCUGCAUUCGAUACGGGCAAACUAGAGUUUGGUAGGGGAGACUGGAAUUCCUGGUGUAGCGGUGGAAUGCGCAGAUAUCAGGAGGAACACCAAUGGCGAAGGCAGGUCUCUGGGUCAAUACUGACACUGAGGAGCGAAAGUCUGGGGAGCGAACAGGAUUAGAUACCCUGGUAGUCCAGACCGUAAACGGUGGGCACUAGUUGUGGGAACCUUCCACGGUUUCUGCGACGCAGCUAACGCAUUAAGUGCCCCGCCUGGGGAGUACGAUCGCAGAUUAAACUCAAAGGAAUUGACGG